rnacentral:rRNA from 1 species
AACGAACGCUGGCGGCAUGCCUAACACAUGCAAGUCGAACGAGACCUUCGGGUCUAGUGGCGCACGGGUGCGUAACGCGUGGGAACCUGCCCUUAGGUUCGGAAUAACUCCCCGAAAGGGGUGCUAAUACCGGAUAAUGUCUUCGGACCAAAGAUUUAUCGCCUUUGGAUGGGCCCGCGUUGGAUUAGCUAGUUGGUAGGGUAAAAGCCUACCAAGGCGACGAUCCAUAGCUGGUCUGAGAGGAUGAUCAGCCACACUGGGACUGAGACACGGCCCAGACUCCUACGGGAGGCAGCAGUGGGGAAUAUUGGAAAAUGGGCGAAAGCCUGAACCAGCAAUGCCGCGUGAGUGAUGAAGGCCUUAGGGUUGUAAAGCUCUUUUACCCGGGAUGAUAAUGACAGUACCGGGAGAAUAAGCUACGGCUAACUCCGUG